CUGACUCCUGUCCCUUGGGGGAGGGACCCCAACUCCUGAUCCCUUGGUGGAGGGACCCCGAUUCCUGAUCCCUCGGGGGAGGGACCCCGACUCCUGUCCCUUGGUGGAGGGACCCCGCUUCCUGAUCGCUCGGGGGAGGGACCCCAAUUCCUGCUCCCUUGGGGGGGGGACCCGGGUUCCCGCUCCCUCGGAGAACAGCCCUCCUGAGAACACGGUGCCGAGGGAACGCGGCCGGCGCACACGGCCACCUACUGGUCCCAGGGUGGCCCCUGCAGCAGGUGUCCAGCGGACGCCAAGCGGCAGGGACAGGAGGCCGAGGAGCGGUCGGUCCCCGGGGGCAGGACGGGGUGCAGGGGGCAGUGAGCGCGCGGCGGCCGGGCCGUCUGUGCGGGGCGCUGCCGCGUGUGCAGCCGAGAGGGCCGACAUGUCGGGGGUGCACGUGGGGGCGCGCGAGCUCCUGCACGCUCGUGGGUGGCGCCCCAUGCCGUCCGCGCGGCGCAGAGCCAGCGACUUCCCGCCUUUUCUGGCGGGCGAGGGCCGGGCCAAUGAGGACGCGGUGACCUCAUCAGAUCUGCGUGUCACCGCGUGCGCAGCGGGGAGGGGAGGGGGUGUCGCUUUUAUACGGAGCGGGGCCUCCUCGCCCGCUGCUCAGAGCUCGGGAGCAGCCGGCCCAGCGCGCCGCACGGCGGUGCACCCCGGCGCUCCUCUCUGCGCCCCGACGCCGUCUUUCGGAAGCGCAGCCCGAGGUUGGUCUCUCCACAGCCCGAGGUUGGUCUCUCCGCAGCCCGAGGUCCGUCUUUCUGCAGCCCGAGGUCCGUCUUUUGCUCCCUCGGGCGGAGGGACCCCAAUUCCCGCUCCCUUGGGGGUCCCGGAUUCCUGCUCCCUCGAGGGGAGGGGCCCCGAUUCCUGCUCCCGGGGGGGGGGGGAAGAGGCCGUUAUUCCUGCUCCCUGGGGGGGGGUGCCCCGAUUCCUGCUCCCUCGGGAGGAGGACCCCGAUUCCUGCUCCCUCAGGGGGAGGGGCCCGAUUCCUGCUCUCUCGGGGGGGAGGAAUCGGGGCACCCCCCCCCCAGGGAGCAGGAAUAACGGCCUCUUCCCCCCCCCCCCCGGGAGCAGGAAUCGGGGCCCCUCCCCUCGAGGGAGCAGGAAUCCGGGACCCCCAAGGGAGCGGGAAUUGGGGUCCCUCCGCCCGAGGGAGCAAAAGACGGACCUCGGGCUGCAGAAAGACGGACCUCGGGCUGCGGAGAGACCAACCUCGGGCUGUGGAGAGACCAACCUCGGGCUGCGCUUCCGAAAGACGGCGUCGGGGCGCAGAGAGGAGCGCCGGGGUGCACCGCCGUGCGGCGCGCUGGGCCGGCUGCUCCCGAGCUCUGAGCAGCGGGCGAGGAGGCCCCGCUCCGUAUAAAAGCGACACCCCCUCCCCUCCCCGCUGCGCACGCGGUGACACGCAGAUCUGAUGAGGUCACCGCGUCCUCAUUGGCCCGGCCCUCGCCCGCCAGAAAAGGCGGGAAGUCGCUGGCUCUGCGCCGCGCGGACGGCAUGGGGCGCCACCCACGAGCGUGCAGGAGCUCGCGCGCCCCCACGUGCACCCCCGACAUGUCGGCCCUCUCGGCUGCACACGCGGCAGCGCCCCGCACAGACGGCCCGGCCGCCGCGCGCUCACUGCCCCCUGCACCCCGUCCUGCCCCCGGGGACCGACCGCUCCUCGGCCUCCUGUCCCUGCCGCUUGGCGUCCGCUGGACACCUGCUGCAGGGGCCACCCUGGGACCAGUAGGUGGCCGUGUGCGCCGGCCGCGUUCCCUCGGCACCGUGUUCUCAGGAGGGCUGUUCUCCGAGGGAGCGGGAACCCGGGUCCCCCCCCCCAAGGGAGCAGGAAUUGGGGUCCCUCCCCCCGAGCGAUCAGGAAGCGGGGUCCCUCCACCAAGGGACAGGAGUCGGGGUCCCUCCCCCCGAGGGAUCAGGAAUCGGGGUCCCUCCACCAAGGGAUCAGGAGUUGGGGUCCCUCCCCCAAGGGACAGGAGUCAGGGUCCCUCCCCCAAGGGACAGGAGUCGGGGUCCCUCCGCCAAGGGACAGGAGUCGGGGUCCGUCCCCCGAGGGAGCAGGAAUAGGCCCCCCGAGGCAGCGGGGAUCGCCCUGCACGUCCAUCGAGGGGCACUCGCCCCCACUGCGCGCCCCCCCUGGCGGCGAGGGGCACCUGCGGGCGGACGUGCGCGGCGGCGGCGGCGGCGAAGGUCGCGCGGGGCCCCUCCGGGCGCGGGAUGGGGGGCCCGACGGCAGGGCGACACCCGCUGUCUGGGCAGCGCGCUGACCCGGCCCCCUGCUCCCGCCGCGCCGCCCCACUGGCCCUGGCCCGCGCCUGCUCCUCCCGGUGCGGCCUCGCGAGCCCCCGCGCCGGCUGUGCCGCGGCACCUGGCACCUGGGGGUCACUGUCCCCCGUGUGUAGGGAGGGGCAGGGCG
rnacentral:lncRNA from 1 species